rnacentral:rRNA from 11 species
ACCAACACCACAGUUGCUCCCUACAUUCACCAGAUCCUAUCUGAUUGUGGAAGCUAAGCAGGGCCAUUGCUGGUUAUUACUUGGAUGGGUGACAGCCAAUGAACACCAGGUGUAGUAGGCU